GAUGAACGCUGGCGGCGUGCCUAAUACAUGCAAGUCGAGCGAACAGAUGAGGAGCUUGCUCCUCUGACGUUAGCGGCGGACGGGUGAGUAACACGUGGAUAACCUACCUAUAAGACUGGGAUAACUUCGGGAAACCGGAGCUAAUACCGGAUAAUAUAUUGAACCGCAUGGUUCAAUAGUGAAAUACGGUUUUGCUGUCACUUAUAGAUGGAUCCGCGCCGCAUUAGCUAGUUGGUGAGGUAACGGCUUACCAAGGCAACGAUGCGUAGCCGACCUGAGAGGGAGAUGGGCCACACUGGAAAUGCGACACGGUCCACACUCCUACGGAAGGCAGCAGUAGGGAAUCUUCCGAAAUGGGGGAAAGCCUGACGGAGCAACGUCGGGGGAGGAAUGAAGGUCUUCGGAUCGUAAAACUCUGUUAGUAGGGAAGAACAAAUGUGUAAGUAACUAUGCACGUCUUGACGGUACCUAAUCAGAAAGCCACGGCUAACUCCGUG
rnacentral:rRNA from 1 species